rnacentral:rRNA from 1 species
AAAACCUUACCCACCUUUGACAUGUACGGAAUCCUUUAGAGAUAGAGGAGUGCUCGAAAGAGAGCCGUAACACAGGUGCUGCAUGGCUGUCGUCAGCUCGUGUCGUGAGAUGUUGGGUUAAGUCCCGCAACGAGCGCAACCCUUGCCAUUAGUUGCUACGAAAGGGCACUCUAAUGGGACUGCCGGUGACAAACCGGAGGAAGGUGGGGAUGACGUCAAGUCCUCAUG